rnacentral:lncRNA from 1 species
GAGCAAAUGACAAAAUACAUAACGUCAUAUGGUGACCGAGUAGCUGUCCUAUCUUUCUGUGAACAAACACAGUGCCAUUGCACCAAUAAAGACACUCUUUUACAGAGAUUAAAAGCUAAAAUAGGGACACGCAAAAUGAAAUCAAAGACAAAAGGAUCACUGAAUGGUACCCCAGAUGAACCCCAAAAUACCAUGGCCAGACAAAGAAAUUCGGCAGAAGAGAAGACUUCAAGGAAGGUUGAAAUUGGGUGGCUUAAUUUUGGCAGUAACGGGUACAGUCAAGUACGGACCAACAGUGGUGGAGGUACAAGACAUGUUACACUGGCAAAAACAACAACUGUUGCUCAGAUCAUGGAAUUAGGAAAGGACCUAUUUUUUCCUGAUGGGCAGUCCACAAAAGGACCAGCUGAUGACUUCACGAUUGACAUUUGUGAUUUGAAAAUGAACAAAAUUCCCUUAGAUAGCACUGUUGGCCACAUGUAUGAACAAACUAAACUGAAGCUACUCAGAUUUUACAUUUGUACAAAAGAGGGAGCUUCAACAGAUCACUCCUCAUCUGAGAAAAAUGAGCUGCUUGAAGAUGGAUCUCACUCAGAUGAUUCCAUCACAGAACUGCAGGAUCGUUCACAUUCAUCUGACACUGAUGGAAGCACCCAGAUACAACCAAGAUCAAAAAGGAUAAGGGCAAUAUCUGAGAGUGAGACGGCACAAAGUCCAGAUCCAUCACAUCCCUUUCAGUCAACCCCAACAGACAUUAAAUAUAGUGACAUUGGGCAAAGGCAAAACACAAGUGAAGUUAGUUUACCGGACCCCUUGUUUGACGAGGCAGAUACACUUCUAUGGGAUUCCGACGAUGACGUGGUGGUUAUACAAUUUAAUCAUGCUGAGGAAGAUGAGGAUGUCUCACAGGGCGCUGAGGUGAGUGAAACACCUACGCAGGUUAUACAGCUUCUAUUGCCUUCAGCUGAUGGCCUACCUACACUGGAUGAGGAGCAGUCCAUACAUGAGGACGCAGUGCAAACAGCCCAGUUGGACAGUGGGCUGUAUUUCAAUUUGGCCUCAGAUUCAAGCAACCGGAUUUCAUCACCAACAUCAACCAGCAACCCAGGAAAUCCACAGACAACACAACGUGCUUCAAUUUGCAGGAUAAAGGUUGUUGAUGAUCUUUUAGCUGUAUUUACCGACAGCAGGAUCAUGAAUGUGACUUUAAAGAUGGACUUUGUAAAUGAAAAAGCUGUUGAUGAUGCCGGAGUGUCAAGGGACGUGUAUACAGCUUUCUGGGAGCAAUUUCUUGAACAGUGUGAAGGGGAAACAGAGCGAGUUCCAAGGCUUAGGCCAGAUUUUUCUGAGGCUGAAUGGCAAGCGGUGGGACGCAUUUGGGUGAAAGGAUUUGUAGACCAUGGUGUCAUGCCAGUGAAGCUAUCGAUGGCUUUCAUUUUAGCAUGCAUCAAUGUAAUCGACCAUGUGGAUACAGACAUCUUGAUGUCAUCGUUUCUUAACUAUCUCCCUCCGGUCGAGAGAUCAGCUGUUGAGAAGGCUCUCCAG